rnacentral:rRNA from 1 species
UAGGGAAUCUUCCACAAUGGACGAAAGUCUGAUGGAGCAACGCCGCGUGAGUGAUGAAGGGUUUCGGCUCGUAAAACUCUGUUGUUGGAGAAGAACAGGUGAUAGAGUAACUGUUAUCAUCUUGACGGUAUCCAACCAGAAAGCCACGGCUAACUACGUGCCAGCAGCCGCGGUAAUACGUAGGUGGCAAGCGUUGUCCGGAUUUAUUGGGCGUAAAGCGGGCGCAGGCGGUUUUUUAGGUCUGAUGUGAAAGCCUUCGGCUUAACCGGAGAAGGGCAUCGGAAACCGGGAGACUUGAGUGCAGAAGAGGACAGUGGAACUCCAUGUGUAGCGGUGAAAUGCGUAGAUAUAUGGAAGAACACCAGUGGCGAAGGCGGCUGUCUGGUCUGUAACUGACGCUGAGGCUCGAAAGCAUGGGUAGCGAACAGGAUUAGAUACCCUGGUAGUCCAUGCCGUAAACG